AGCGAACGCUGGCGGCAGGCCUAACACAUGCAAGUCGAACGGAUCCUUCGGGAUUAGUGGCGGACGGGUGAGUAACACGUGGGAACGUGCCCUUUGGUUCGGAACAACUCAGGGAAACUUGUGCUAAUACCGAAUGUGCCCUUCGGGGGAAAGAUUUAUCGCCUUUAGAGCGGCCCGCGUCUGAUUAGCUAGUUGGUGAGGUAAAGGCUCACCAAGGCGACGAUCAGUAGCUGGUCUGAGAGGAUGAUCAGCCACAUUGGGACUGAGACACGGCCCAAACUCCUACGGGAGGCAGCAGUGGGGAAUCUUGCGCAAUGGGCGAAAGCCUGACGCAGCCAUGCCGCGUGAAUGAUGAAGGUCUUAGGAUUGUAAAAUUCUUUCACCGGGGACGAUAAUGACGGUACCCGGAGAAGAAGCCCCGGCUAACUUCGUGCCAGCCGCCGCCGUAA
rnacentral:rRNA from 1 species